UGCCAAAGGAGAUUUGCCCG
rnacentral:snRNA from 1 species